GACGAACGCUGGCGGCGCGCCUAACACAUGCAAGUCGAACGGAGCUGAGAGAAGCUUGCUUUUCUUAGCUUAGUGGCGAACGGGUGAGUAACGCGUGAGUAACCUGCCCUGGAGUGGGGGACAACAGUUGGAAACGACUGCUAAUACCGCAUAAGCCCACGAUCCGGCAUCGGAUUGAGGGAAAAGGAUUUAUUCGCUUCAGGAUGGACUCGCGUCCAAUUAGCUAGUUGGUGAGGUAACGGCCCACCAAGGCGACGAUUGGUAGCCGGACUGAGAGGUUGAACGGCCACAUUGGGACUGAGACACGGCCCAGACUCCUACGGGAGGCAGCAGUGGGGGAUAUUGCAAAAUGGGGGAAACCCUGAUGCAGCGACGCCGCGGGGAGGAAGAAGGUUUUCGGAUUGUAAACUCCUGUCGCUAGGGACGAUAAUGACGGUACCUAACAAGAAAGCACCGGCUAACUACGUG
rnacentral:rRNA from 1 species